UCCUCACUCGGACAGUUUGGGCAGGCAACUGGAGGAGAAAGACAUGGGACUCAUGUGGCUUCUUACUGACAGAACGGAGCUGGAUUUCCUCUCCUAAAGAUACUUUUGCUUGACUCCACCUCCAAUUCCAGCUUAUUUGGUUGGGCUCUGGACAUCAGAGGUUCAGGAUAUGGGUCACUGCUGCCUUUCCCUGCAAAGCUACAUGAGAAGCCUGUGCCCCUCUGGCAUUCACUGCUGCUCAGUUGAGCCAGACAGUUUAAAGUCCAUUUCAGGAUGGAUUUCAUUUUACCCUCUUGUGUUGGUUCUCCUGAAGCUGAAGCAGAUGCUAUACCAUAUUCUGAGGUAACUUCUGUUGAAAAUGAUCUUUAUCUGUCAUUUUUCAAGAUUUUAUGUUAAAGAUAUAGUUCUAAUCCAAUAAUAUUUUUUCAUACUAAUGGCAAUAUUUACACACAUAGGAUGCUGUAAGCAGGUAAGA